rnacentral:rRNA from 1 species
AAAGCGUGCGCAGGCGGUUAUGCAAGACAGAUGUGAAAUCCCCGGGCUCAACCUGGGAACUGCAUUUGUGACUGCAUGGCUAGAGUACGGUAGAGGGGGAUGGAAUUCCGCGUGUAGCAGUGAAAUGCGUAGAUAUGCGGAGGAACACCGAUGGCGAAGGCAAUCCCCUGGACCUGUACUGACGCUCAUGCACGAAAGCGUGGGGAGCAAACAGGAUUAGAUACCCUAGU